rnacentral:lncRNA from 1 species
CUUCCCCCUCCCCCACGCCCCUACCGCCGCCUUGAUCUCGAUCUCAAAUCCAAAACCUUCUUUUCCAAUCCUCAUCGACAGAACCAAAUCGCUCACUCCCUUGUUACUUGCCAUCUCAAGCUAUAAGGAUCAACCUUCGAAGAUGUUAGUAGUGAUAGGACGACGGUGAUGGUGGGGAAAGAUACACAACAGGAGAAGCGACCUCGAUCCACAACAACAUGGCAUCAAUUUGAAGAGAUGCUAGCUUCCUUCUUUGAGGUGGAUCCCCCCCCUUCUUCAUUCGAGUAAAAUUUUGUGAGGUAUUGAAAAAUCCUAUUUCUUUUGUCUUCCCCAGCAUACUAGUUUGGUGCAGAUGGCUUUAUCCCUCUUUCAUGCUUCAGUUUGAUGAAGACUGUGUAUGGUCUUAGACUGUUACAGUAUAGAUAUUUCAUUAAAAUGAAGAGUAAAUAAGAUAAAGUAUGAUUCAUUCAGCACAACCAGUAAUCAUAUCAAGUCUUCCUAGGGAUGAACAAAGUCAUAUGUAGGUAAAUACUAUAAGAGAAAAUCAUGUCAUUUAAUCUAAAGAUAUUGGUACUAACUUCUACCAUGUCAUCAUUUUCCUGUGUCGAAGGUAAGACAGAUCUCACUCAUAUUCUGAGGCCUUUUUUGUUCCAACGAAACUCAUUGAUUUGGUUUCACUGGAACUGUUUUUGGCACCCAAUAAUUUUGGUUUAUUCUGGUGAUCUGAUCUUUGUGGUAGAGCUAGAUACCCACAUGACAAGUCACUCCUUGGGCGCCUCUUGGGUGCCCACUCCCCGAUCCACCUUUUCUCAUCCCCGUCCCUCUUUAUUAAUAUGGAAAUCAGAUUUUUUUUAAUAAAUAGAUGAAAUAGCACAGGUGAGAUACAUAAUGAAUUUAGACUUUGUAGUUUCAUAAUAGAGGCAAGUCACAAUAACUUAGUUGUAAAAGCGAGCGAGUAGGGCAUGCACAGUAAUGAUAUUUAUCAUCUGUUUAGACAGUACAUCAGCAAAAUCCUAGGUGCAUGAACAGUUUGUCUCUUGGCUCAGACAUCAUGUACUAAAGAUAUGUGGGUUAUAUAAAGAUAACUAUAUUAACUAAUAAGAUAAAACACAUAUUGUAUAGUUUAUAUCUGAAAACUUCUCUGUGUGCUUAGGUAUAGGUUGAGAGACAACCAAGAGACUACAGAGUUGUAAUGGUCUUAAAUAGGCAUUGUGUGGUUAUGCCAUGAUAUAUCAAUACAAUUCAGGUGGGGAUUAAAUCCCCCAGGUGACAGUUCAAGAAAAUAGGCAUUGUAUUCUAAUACUUAAAAGGUUUAAUUUUAUUUCAAUGAUGACAAAUAUAUUUUCUGCCCCCCUCUCUGCAGUUGCAUUAUAUUAUAUAAAAGGGCUUAAAUUUAUGAACAAUUAGACUUAAAUGAACUGCUAGUGUUGACUUUGCACGAAUCUAAGUUAUCAAACCCUGGAGAAUAGUUGAAAGAAUUUUCAAACACUUUGUACAGUCGCCCCCAGAAAAAUGUCAAUAUAAAUUUGUUGGAGUCAAAUAAGUUAAUUUUUGAUAUAUCCAUAUUUUUGCCCUAUAUGGCGAGAUUCCACAACAUUUUCAUAGAAUCAGAGGGUUGAUGCACAAGCUUUUUAAUGCAGUUGAACAUUUGAAAAUAACAUGAGUUGAUCCAUAGGCUUUAUAAAGAAAUUGACUAUGUUUGUAUAUGUAGAUAUUUGUUACAAUAAAUAAUUAUUGGUUAUAAUAUGCUUUAAUUUGAAGGCAGUACUUGUGUCCAAAACCAUACUUUUUGUGACAUGAGAAUUACUAUAUCUAACUUGAGAAAAGUUCAAAACAACCACUUGAGAUGACAUAAACAACUCGUCACCCUAUAUACAACAACAUCAUGCUCAGUUCAUUCUUAUACAACACACAACAGGACAGCAUAAAAGCUCCUGCUAGGAACAAAAAAACCAUUGGCACAUAAUGAGUCAAUAAUAUAUAGAGAGCUAAAACAUCAGUUCAGAUCUCAGCAAGUGUAGCCGUAUGUCGUAUAUCACCUUGAAAAUCAUUAAUCAGUUGAAAAUAUUUAUGACGUCCACAGAGGCUAGCGAUUAGUCACCGAAUGGGUGAAAACUGAAUAACCUCAUACAUUUCCCAUUCCACAGUUCAACCAACCACAUGUUAAUGGUGAACUGAAACCAAAUAUCACAGGAGAAUGGCAAAAGCAAUGGAGCACAAAUCGCUAAUGUCAUAGGUGAACCAACCUAGAAAUGAAUGCAGAAUACUUGAAGUUAAAUAUACUCAAGUACUCAAGGAAAAAAGAUUCCAUGAAUAGGAAAUUAGGAAAGAGGCUUUUCAGAAUUUACUGAAGGAAACCUCCAACAUAUCAAUAGCACUAUGUGUUCUCACAUCACACAACAUUAUUAACCAUACUCCCAGAUAACAUAUAAGACAACACUGUUGAUCUCACAUAGUCAUACAACAGCAGAUAACAUUAUUAACCAUGCCAGGUAAGGUUCCACAAGGGUUAUUAUAAGGAGAAAGAAGGCCCAGGAGCCAGGAAAGUCUAAUAAGAAGCAGGAUGGUGGCUUUAUUCCAAGUUUUACGACU